ensembl:lncRNA
UUUUUUUUUUUUUUUUUUUUUUUUUUUUUUUUUUAGAUUUUACCCUGCAUUAGCGUAUCCCUCUUCCUGUCACCUUUUCUCCAAGUUCCUUUCAAGGAAAUCUGUUCUGUUAAGUGUAUGCCAGUUUAUGUGAAUUCCGUGGUGAGCCACAGUUGAAAAAAAAAAAAAAGAAACAAACCACACACAACUUUGUUUAGCCAUCUCGGAAGUGUUUGGAACUACAUUAAUCUUCGUGGUCCUUCUCUAACUUAAGCCGAAGUAAAAUGCUGCAAGUAGGAGCUCCCCAUCAUGUUGCUGGAUACACAUACAAAAAUCUAAUAUACUGUUUACGAUAUACUCCCUACAAAAUGUGAGCACAUACCUGCUGUGCCUUGGUAUGUUUUGGACAGUUAUGCUGGGGGUAUGUGGAAGACAUUUCAAAGUUUUUGUAGGAUACCAAUUUAUUUAGAAGAUAAUAAGCAUUUGUCAUUUCAACAAGCAAUUUUUAAUAAAACAAAGGCCCUCCAAUUCUUAAAAUUCUGGUGUUAUGCAGGAACCUAAGGAAUGUCAGGGAACUGAGAGUACAGUUUCAGUGUUCUAGCAGUGUAUUCCUUACCCGUGCCAUUCGAUGGACAAUUUAAAACAAAUCAGACUAUUAAGUUACAUUAUGAAAAGCAAAAUUGAAUUACCCUUAUCUACAAAGUUUUGUCAUACAGUAGAAAAGAAAACGAUAUUUUGAACUAAUUUAACUGUAAUUUAACACCAGAAGCUUAAUAUAAGGGAUUUUAUUCCCCUCCAGAGGUCUCUCUGUAUACUGCUGUGCACAGAUGUGAUAGAAAAGAAUGAGUCAGCUUGGCUAUAUAAUAAAUAAUUCACUUUACAUAACUCAUUCGUGUUCUUCAGGGCAUCCAGUCAGUGAACGAGGCGAUCCAGCCCCUUCAGUAUAGAGAGGCAACAGCAUUCUUCCAAGUAGGAGUAUCUUUCAUACGGAGCAAGUCUGUAGAGUGGAAUUAGCUCUUCAGUCUGUGGGAGAGAACUGAGGAUGAGUAUGGUAGCAGACUCCAUCAGUCAUACAGAGAAUAGUCCGUUGUUAUUUACUGUUUUCUUACAGAAGCAGAGCAACAAGGUAUUGAGAAUGCAGAUUCAAAAUAAACAAAGCAUCAUUCCACACACAAAGUUUUGGAAUUUGUCAGCUAAAGAGUUUUCUGGCUACCAGAACUGAUGUGAGUAGCAUCUGUUUGGUGGUGUGCGUUACCUGGGGUGCUGCUCCUGUCAAACUGUGUGGAGAUUUUUCUUCAGGUGGGGCCUCUGUGCAGUACUGCUGAUACACCUGUGAGCUGUACACACUCGUGGCACGUCACGAGGUACAUCAAUACUACAUGCUGUGUGUUUGUGCCUUCCCUGAGAGUUAGAUCUGCUGGGUAUUUAGAGGCAAAGAGUGAGUAAGUAGACUUGGCUUUUUUGACAGGAUUAAUCACCAGAUCUUUUAAGACUUGUUACCGUACUCGGAUGUGUGCAUGCAGCUAGAUUCCACAGAUUCAGAAUUAUUUUCUAACAUUGUGGGAACAUCUAAACUAAGUGCAAGUACCUAGAAAUAAUGUGUGCUGUUUACCCUCCUAAAAAAUCCCAGUAAAACAGUGGCUUCACGGGACUUGCUACAGUAAGGACAAUUAUUUGUAACACUCCAUCAGAAGUGGUUAGGAAAACAUCAAGAUAUUGUCUACUCAGUACCUAGAAAUACUGGAAGAUACUUAAAUUUUCCUGCAUUAUUUAGGGAAGACAAGAAAAAUUUUUGCAUAUCUCUCAAGUGAAGCAGUUGUCUAUUAGCCUGCCUUGAUUGUCUGUUACAGGAAUAUGUAUGCAAAGUUGUAGUCAGUCUGUUGAGAUGAUUUUUUCUAAUCAGAUGCAAGUUUGUCAUUGCUGCCUUCUGCUUUAACCAGAGAAGGGAAGUAAAACAUCAAACUGAGAAAUACUGUGAAUUUAAAGCUGAACAUAUUGCUUAUUACAAGCAGUCCCUGAUACAUUCUUUCCUUAUUUCAGUACAUUUUCUGGUCAGUGCUUUGAUUUUUCAGCAUUUUAGUUUACAGACAGUCUGGUAAGUUGUUGCCAAAUUGGUAUUUUGUCAACAUUACAUAGAGAGCUGCUCAGAAAUGAAAUUUGCGUUUACUUUCUUCCCUCUGACCCCCUAUCUGAUCGCUUGUAUUGCCUCAUUUGGGAUGUCUACGCCG